GGAGGCGUGCCCGAGCGGCUGAAGGGGCUCCCCUGCUAAGGGAGUAUGUGAGCUAAAACUUGCAUCCAGAGUUCGAAUCUCUGCGCCUCCGCCA
rnacentral:tRNA from 1 species